rnacentral:rRNA from 1 species
UGGGGAAUAUUGCACAAUGGGGGAAACCCUGAUGCAGCGACGCCGCGUGGAGGAAGAAGGUCUUCGGAUUGUAAACUCCUGUUGUUGGGGAAGAUAAUGACGGUACCCAACAAGGAAGUGACGGCUAACUACGUGCCAGCAGCCGCGGUAAAACGUAGGUCACAAGCGUUGUCCGGAAUUACUGGGUGUAAAGGGAGCGCAGGCGGGAAGACAAGUUGGAAGUGAAAUCUAUGGGCUCAACCCAUAAACUGCUUUCAAAACUGUUUUUCUUGAGUAGUGCAGAGGUAGGCGGAAUUCCCGGUGUAGCGGUGGAAUGCGUAGAUAUCGGGAGGAACACCAGUGGCGAAGGCGGCCUACUGGGCACCAACUGACGCUGAGGCUCGAAAGUGUGGGUAGCAAACAGGAUUAGAUACCCUGGUAGUCCACACCGUAAACGAUGAUUACUAGGUGUUGGAGGAUUGACCCCUUCAGUGCCGCAGUUAACACAAUAAGUAAUCCACCUGGGGAGUACGACCGCAAGGUUGAAACUCAAAGGAAUUGACGGGGGCCCGCACAAGCAGUGGAGUAUGUGGUUUAAUUCGACGCAACGCGAAGAACCUUACCAAGUCUUGACAUCCUGCGACGAUGCUAGAAAUAGUAUUUUCCUUCGGGACGCAGAGACAGGUGGUGCAUGGUUGUCGUCAGCUCGUGUCGUGAGAUGUUGGGUUAAGUCCCGCAACGAGCGCAACCCUUAUGGUCAGUUACUACGCAAGAGGACUCUGGCCAGACUGCCGUUGACAAAACGGAGGAAGGUGGGGAUGACGUCAAAUCAUCAUGCCCUUUAUGACUUGGGCUACACACGUACUACAAUGGCGUUAAACAAAGAGAAGCAAGACCGCGAGGUGGAGCAAAACUCAGAAACAACGUCCCAGUUCGGACUGCAGGCUGCAACUCGCCUGCACGAAGUCGGAAUUGCUAGUAAUCGUGGAUCAGCAUGCCACGGUGAAUACGUUCCC